GGAAGCGUGGCAGAGCGGGCGAAUGCACUCGCCUUGAAAGCGAGAGUCCCGAAAGGGUCCGGGGGUUCGAAUCCCUCCGCUUCCG
rnacentral:tRNA from 1 species